UACAGAGGUCCCAAGCGUUGUUCGGAUUCACUGGGCGUAAAGGGUGCGUAGGCGGUCGGGUAAGUCUGAUGUGAAAUCUCACAGCUUAACUGUGAAACUGCAUUGGAUACUAUCCGGCUCGAGGAAUGGAGGGGAGACUGGAAUACUUGGUGUAGCAGUGAAAUGCGUAGAUAUGUGGAGGAACACCGAUGGCGAAGGCAGCCCCCUGGGUCAAGAUUGACGCUCAUGCACGAAAGCGUGGGGAGCAAACAGG
rnacentral:rRNA from 1 species